UUAUAAGGCCUAUUUAAAGGCAUGGCUGUCCACCUUGUUAAACACUUAUCAUUAUUAUUAAAAUUUCAGAUUUGUUGAGAGCAGAAUUUUCUUUGAGUUUUUUCCAAGAUUUCUCUCUUGAGUUUUCUUUAGAAGUUGUUUUAACAAUCUUGUGAUUGUGGGAGCCAUCUUCAACCUUCUUCUUGCCAUUGAUAUUCUUUGGAGGGGAGAUUAG
rnacentral:lncRNA from 1 species